rnacentral:rRNA from 1 species
AAACUGGAGAGUUUGAUUCUGGCUCAGAACGAACGCUGGCGGAGUGCUUUAGACAUGCAAGUCGUACGAGAACGUUGCCUUCGGGCAGCUAGUAAAGUGGCGCACGGGUGAGUAACGCGUGGGUAAUCUGCCUUCGAGACUGGGACAACCCCGGGAAACUGGAGCUAAUACCAGAUAAGACCACAAGGCCCUCGGGCCAAGUGGGAAAAGGUGGCCUCUCCUUGGAAGCUACCGCUCGGAGAUGAGCCCGCGUCGCAUUAGCUUGUUGGUGAGGUAACGGCUCACCAAGGCUACGAUGCGUAGCUGGUCUGAGAGGACGAUCAGCCACACUGGAACUGAGACACGGUCCAGACUCCUACGGGAGGCAGCAGUCGGGA